rnacentral:rRNA from 1 species
UACAGAGGUCCCGAGCGUUGUUCGGAUUCACUGGGCGUAAAGGGUGCGUAGGUGGCCUAAAAAGUUUGAUGUGAAAGCUCAGGGCUUAACCCUGAAAUGGCAUUGAAUACUGUUGGGCUGGAGGUUUGGAGGGGGGACUGGAAUUCUUGGUGUAGCAGUGAAAUGCGUAGAUAUCAAGAGGAACACCAGUGGCGAAGGCGGUUGCCUGGAGCUUUGCUGACGCUGAUGCGCGAAAGCGUGGGGAGCGAUCCGG